ACAGCAGCAGCCGCGGUAAUACGUAGGUCCCGAGCGUUGUCCGGAUUUAUUGGGCGUAAAGCGAGCGCAGGCGGUUAGAUAAGUCUGAAGUUAAAGGCUGUGGCUUAACCAUAGUACGCUUUGGAAACUGUUUAACUUGAGUGCAAGAGGGGAGAGUGGAAUUCCAUGUGUAGCGGUGAAAUGCGUAGAUAUAUGGAGGAACACCGGUGGCGAAAGCGGCUCUCUGGCUUGUAACUGACGCUGAGGCUCGAAAGCGUGGGGAGCAAACAGGAUUAGAUACCCCAGUAGUCCCUGUCUCUUAUACA
rnacentral:rRNA from 1 species